rnacentral:rRNA from 1 species
UACGUAGGGUGCGGGCGUUAAUCGGAAUUACUGGGCGUAAAGCGUGCGCAGGCGGUUCUGAAAGUCAGCUGUGAAAGCCCCGGGCUUAACCUGGGAAUUGCGGUUGAAACUACAGGGCUAGAAUCUGGCAGAGGGGGGUGGAAUUCCACGUGUAGCAGUGAAAUGCGUAGAGAUGUGGAGGAACACCGAUGGCGAAGGCAGCCCCCUGGGCUGAGAUUGACGCUCAGGCACGAAAGCGUGGGGAGCAAACAGG